CUUCCGUAGGGUAACCUGCGGAAGGAUCAUUAUCGAGUUCUGACUGGGUUGUAGCUGGCCUUCCGAGGCAUGUGCACGCCCUGCUCAUCCACUCUACACCUGUGCACUUACUGUGGGUUUACGGGUCGUGAAACGGGCUCGUUUAUUCGGGCUUGUUGAGCGCACUUGUUUCCUGCGUUUAUCACAAACUCUAUAAAGUAUCAGAAUGUGUAUUGCGAUGUAACGCAUCUAUAUACAACUUUCAGCAACGGAUCUCUUGGCUCUCGCAUCGAUGAAGAACGCAGCGAAAUGCGAUAAGUAAUGUGAAUUGCAGAAUUCAGUGAAUCAUCGAAUCUUUGAACGCACCUUGCGCUCCUUGGUAUUCCGAGGAGCAUGCCUGUUUGAGUGUCAUGAAAUCUUCAAUCUACAAACUUUUUAUGGGGUUUGUAGGCUUGGACUUGGAGGCUUGUCGGUCCCUUUACAGGUCGGCUCCUCUUAAAUGCAUUAGCUUGGUUCCUUGCGGAUCGGCUUGUCGGCGUGAUAAUGUCUACGCCGCGACCGUGAAGCGUGUUUGGGCGAGCUUCUAACCGUCUCGUUACAGAGACAACUUUUAUGACCUCUGAC
rnacentral:rRNA from 1 species